AUUUGUCUUCAGAUUGUGUAUACAUUUUCAGUUUAGGCCUUUUGUUCUCCUCCGUAAAUUAAAAACUUGUGCACCCAAUUCUUGCUUUUUAAAGUCAUUAAAGAUACAAUACUGUACAAUCAUACCAUUCAGGUAAAAAAAAACAAAAAAAAAACAGUUCGGCUAAAUCAUUAAAAACCCAAAUUCCCAUAACACUCAUACCCAUAAAGAGUGAAUCUAAACUUCUCACCACACCUGUAUGAUUGCACAUUUGUCAAGAAAUUACUAUUCCUGUUACCAAUUUUGCCCAGCAAAAUAUAUGUGGAGGGGCCAAAGACUUUGUACAUUACCAUACACAAAACAAAACUAUGAUUUGUUUAAGGUCUGUCAAUAUCAAACAUUAAAAUAGUUGACAGCAAAGGGUCCACAAUUAAAAAGUUUUUCUAGCAAUACAAAGUCCUGUGUCACCUCUAAGGUUCAAACAUGUAAAGUGAAACACACACUUGUUUCAUAGCACAUGAAAAUAAAAACAAACAAAAUAUUAAAUCAUGAUACAUCCUAAGUGCAGAGCCAGCACUGGAUAGUUCAGGUGUACUAUAAUCAAGUGGUAAUGUAAAAAGUAAACUUAUAUACAUAAAUCUAAUACACAGAACAAAGUUUAAAACAUCUGAAGAAACUAUUCCCCAAACCCAGCUGUGUAAAAACACUGGACAAAGGAACAUUAACUUACACGUUACAAUGUGCAUUAAAUGUGCAGUUACUAAAGAAGACGAAUGAAUUAGGAACGUGUUGAUAGUUAUUGGAUCUUUUGUAAGUACUUCAGUAAUAACUUCACACUCGAUAAUUUUCUUUUUUUCCAAGUGUUUGAAUUAGAUUUAAGAAGAAAGAGACAAUUAUGAACGAAUGAUUACAUAACAAUUCAGCCCUAGUAACUAUUUUUGAAUUCUUUCUUUCUUCCACACUUGUUCUUUAGUAACUACACUCCAUGGUGUGGAAUGCAUUUUGUAUCCUAACCCUGGAUGACCUGGCAACAAAAUAAAGUUAAGUCAAAGACCACAUGCAGGCUGACUGACCGUUACUGAAUAAAACUUCAGUAUCUUACCUCCUUAGUGUGAAAUGUAUUAAAAAAGAUAUUACCUCAAGAAGAACUGCUAAGAUACCAAGAACAUACCCACAGAAACAAACAAGAAUGCUAUUACCAAUAUUUUUAUCUGUACGAUAUCAAUGGUCAGAUAUUGCUUUUUUUUUCUAGUAUGAAUAUAAAAAGAAAUAAAUUAAAUAAUAACUGAAGUGUAUGCAGUGACUUUUAAGAUGACUUUAUUGACCAAAUCAUGGUCAAAUCACAGCAGUGGGUCACUUAAAAAAAAACCGGUAUGAGAACAGGUUUUGUUAUCACGAACACUUUUCUGCCCAUUGUUUCAGCAAAUUAUUCUUUAAAGCAUGAACCCCAGGCAGAGCACUGAGUACCAAGACCCAUGAACACCUUUUGAAUUACUUCAAAAGUGUACCUUAAGUCCUUUAGAUGAUCCAGGUUAAGUGCAUAGAUGAGUCCAAGCAAAAGUGCAACUGCAGUUGAGAAGUCACAGACGUCAUUGAGGUCAAUCUGAUCCUCAAUCACCAGGGCAAUGCUUCUGUUGGACUUGAGCAGAUGGUCCCAAAUUACUGACAUUUUUGUGUCCAAGGCUCCAAGUUUCUUCUAAGUUAUGAUGAAAGGGCUUUUACAAUUUUGUUUUCUUUUAAUUCUUUACCAGAAAUAUUUUGUUCACAAUUUAAAAGAAACUAACGGUGUGUUCACACCGGACGCAAUAGAAGCGACCAAAAAGCGCCACACGCCCCUAGCUGGUCGCUCGCACAUUCGCACCUCGAAGCGCGUUCAAAGCAAACUGGUCGCACUUUCAAAUAUGCAAUUUUCACGUGCGUGAACCGGAAAUGUGGGAGGAAGUAGUGCCAGACAGUAUGUUUGCAAGAUGGCAGCUGUCGAUCUAGCGUUUGAGGAGAGAGUCUCCCUUCUCUAUUUACUGUGGAGAGCAGAGCAGCGGCAUAAAGGACGUCCUCACCGUACCUGGGUCCAUCAGGUCCUCCACGAGUGUGAGCAGUUUGAUGAGUUUCACCACUUGCUCCACAAGCUGCGUCUGGCUGACGGCCACUUUCAGCGGUACCACCGUCUGUCCCUCACCCAGUUUGAGGAGCUGCUGUCCCGCGUCGGUCCAAGCAUCGCCCGCCUAGACACCAACUACAGGUGCUCACUCCCACCUGCAGAGCACCUGUCCAUCUGUCUGCGAACAUCACGGCUCUUUGAGGAUAGAAACCUGUAGCGUGGCAGCUGACUGGAGAGGAGGGAGUCUUCUGGAGGAGAGAGACUGAGGGAAGAACUGCAAAGAGAAACAAAUUCAGUGGCAGCUAUGAAGAUGAGAAGAACCAGAACAACCACUGCAGAAGUGACAGAGAUCAUCAUGUCAGCUGGCCUUAUAAAAGAUGAGUAAAAAA